rnacentral:rRNA from 1 species
UACGUAGGGUGCAAGCGUUGUCCGGAAUUAUUGGGCGUAAAGAGCUCGUAGGCGGUCUGUCGCGUCGGCUGUGAAAACCCGGAGCUCAACUCCGGGCCUGCAGUCGAUACGGGCAGGCUAGAGUUCGGUAGGGGAGACUGGAAUUCCUGGUGUAGCGGUGAAAUGCGCAGAUAUCAGGAGGAACACCGGUGGCGAAGGCGGGUCUCUGGGCCGAUACUGACGCUGAGGAGCGAAAGCGUGGGGAGCGAACAGG